GGGGUUCCCCCGAAACGGCCCGGCUCUGCCGCGGCGUCUCCUCCUCCUCCACGGUGCACGGAGCGAUUGAUUCACGUGGAAAAUUUGAUCUUUUAAACAACCGUUUUAGCUUUCCAGCUCUUCUGCCAGUAUGGAGAAUCGCUGAUCCUCCAUGAAUAUUUCAGCACUUCAGGACAGAUGCUUUACCGUUUUGACAUUAAAUAGAGUGCAGCCAACAAAAAGAGAGAGAGAGAAAGCGCUCUCGACGUGUGAUUCAGGAGCACUCGCAGCCAAUUUACCAUUUAGAUAACAGCCGUUUAAAAGAUUUCCCUUACUCUUCCCCGAAAUUGGAGCAAACUUUUCCCCAUCCUCGUACCGGGAAGAGGGAGAACUGCCGGAAAAGAAGCUACCAGUCAGUGACAGCCCCCGACUUGCCCACACCGGGGCCCAGACCCCCGGGCUGCCGCGCCCGGCGCUACGGGAGAGAACGUGAAAGAGCCCGAAGGACCGAGGUGACACCGAACGAGCUGAAGAGCCCUUCUGUCCUCGCCCACCCCCUCCCGCCCGAAAUAAAUAGCUAAAUGAGAAUGCAGCCCGGGGGAUAUACACGUGUAUAUUAAAGGCGACGAUAAACGCGGCCGAGGCGGCACCCAGCCGAAACAGAACAUCCUCCAGCCCUCAAAGUUUCUAGCGAGACCUGUUAGUGCAAGGACUGAAUAAAGGAAUCCGGGUGCGGAGAUCAGAUCAAGCCCUUCCCCUCUCUGCGAGCAGCCGUAAUUGGAUUGUAUCCAGUCAUAUUCCCUGUCAUUGUAUUGACUUUCGCUCUCUUGGAUGAUAUUAUCGAGAUCACUGAACCCCUCUGCUGAUCUGGCUGUCAAAAGGCUCAGACAGGAGCCCCCGGCCUGGAAAACGUGCAUCAGCCAAGAUAAUUUGAAGUGAAAUUUUCAUUUUGACAGUAAACCCCUCAAUUUCUAAAGGCUCUGCACCCGGAGAGCUCGGUGGCAGGGGGAGGCUUUACAGAAAGCCACGUCUUAAACUGAAAAGGGCAAAAGAACUCGAAUUAGUUGUAAUAGAUAAAAGGGCAAAAAUAAAGAGUCAAGGGUACUUGACAGUAAUAGCGAAAGUGGAGUCUCCGGGGAGCCGCGAUCUCAGCUCAAGGCUGGGCCGGCAGGAAUUUUAAUGCAGCCGGGGCGGCCGGCGAGCUUUGCCUCUGAAACCCUUUAGACAAAGCAAAUUAUUUUCAGCCCAACUAAGGAGGUGGGGAUGAAGGACGGAAGGGAGGAAAGGCGAGCGGUCAGGCUGCCCUCGAGCCAUUGGUGGCGGCCGACGGGACGGGGGGAAAGGCUGAGUGCCGCAAGGGGAGAGAGGGGGGACGUUAAAGCGGUGAAAAGCAGGGAGGUUUGAGCGCGUGCAAACACCGGACGGGGUGGCACCGGCUUUCCCGGUGGGUUCCAGCAAGACCCGAAAAGCUGCCGGGCUGCGCAGCGGGCCGCUGGCGGGCGGGUCGUCCGCCGUUGUAAAUCGCUGCGGAGCGGCGUUGGCGUGGUCAGCAGAGCGGUUUGGUCAGGCCGUGGUCUGGAGGGGCAGCUCCUCCCUUAAAAUGAAGGUGAUGAAACCGUAGGCAACGCACAGGCACGCGGAAAUAUCUGAAGCCGAGAGAGAGUCGGAGCAGACCUUUAUCUCUUCGUUUCCUUAUCUUUGUCGUUACAGAGCAAGUUGGAGUAAGUUUACGCUCGUUACAUAACGUGUCCAGAUCCCUCUGACCUACGGGACCGGCCGCCUAUUCGAUCUCGUAGGGGGGCGUGUGCGUGGGUGCGUGCACUCACCCACACCAAAACGUUACCUGUGUGAGAGGAGACUGCGGGAAUGACAGGGGAGGGAACGCAGUUUCUCACUUCGGCACACGAAGCUUCUCUAUAGAUCAACCGUCAAAUGCGAUGAUCUUUCAAGAAGGUUUUUAAAAGUCUCAACAAAAGAGUGUGAGAAAUUAAUUUUGCCCUUUGACUCAAUAGCACAAGUCAAAGAUCAGGGCUUUAGACGAGGCUGCGGGGCUGAAAGGGAAAUACACGCAGCCCAUGCGGUUGUACAAAGCAGGAAUAAAAAGGCAGGCUGAGCGAGAGAGAGAAGAGAAAAAAAAAAUCAUAGAGAAACGGCUUGAAACUGAGAGACUCUAAAUCAUUCAGCCAUGGCAAAUUCAAACACACAAAGGAGGGGAUGCUAAAUUAACAGUGCUUUUUACAUAGAGCCCAAAUAAAACUGUAAUCAGCGACGCGUUACUUUUCAUUAAGCGAGUUUGACAGCAGCAUAUUCAGCCUCGACAAGGGAACAGGAGCGAAGAAAUAUACGACUCUCCCAGCCCGAGUCAUAAGAUAAUUCCUUAAGCUCCAUUAACAACUCUUAGCCGCAGGAAAUGGGCUCCCUGAAAACAUCUCCAAAUCUAAAAGCUUUAUCGACCUCUCAAACCUCUGCUGAUGGUUCUAUUUUUUUUUUAUUUUUUUAUUUUUUUAAAACUUAGAGGCGAGACGUCCAGCAAGGUAAUAGACUUUGACACAACACCUUCUUAACUAGAGUGAGAGAGGCAGGAAAAACGAGACCUUAAAUGAUAUUUAAAAGGCAGCCAAUUAAGAUUUAAAAUGAUUGUCUCCUGAGAUUAUGCAUGCGAUUUAUGUCAUCUACUUUUUUUUUUUCCCCAGGCGUGCAUGCAAAAUUGCAAUGGGGCAUGCUGCCCUUUCCUUAAACAAUAAUAACAACAACAACAAAGGAGUAGCAAUUAACAAUCUGAAACUAAGUCAUAUAAUUGUAAGAAGUGUUAAUUUAAGGAAAGGUUGGUGCUUAGUUAAUCUGAUGAUAGAGCACCUUGCACUGGCCAGCUUGUUUAUAGAUGCCUAAUUAAAAGGCAACUAAAGCAAUACAUCCUUUAUCUGUUAAUGUUUAGGAGCACUUUUCAUUCCAAAUUCCUUUUGCACUAUUAAAACAGUGUGAUCAGGUCAUCAUCACAGAACCCAGCGUAACAGAUCCUUCCCAUCAGCCACACAAAGAGAAGCAUUCGCGAAGACUUUGCCUUGGAGGAAGCUGUUUUUCAUGGACGAGCUUAUGGCAAAAAACACAGAUCCUAGAAGUGUGACAUAUGGUAUCAAUUCCUUCUAUGUGUGAGGAUGUUUUAACUCAUAUUUAAUGUCAAAGAGGCUGUGAAGUGCUCAGGACUUGUGAAAAGGGUUCCAAUCAUGCUCCUUGUCAAGUUGCAUCACUGCAGAAAAUAAUUCCAGAGGAAGAAGUGAAGAUCACAGAAGCUGUCUUCUCUUAAAUCAUGGGUGUCUGACCUUGCCUGAUCUGCACUGAGUGAAGAGGAAGUUUCCAAAUUCCAAAAUGUAUAAUGUGAAGCAGAUCUCCCUCUGGCACCAGCCCCCCACCAGCCCGGGGGCAGAGGAGCUGCCGUGCUCCCAGCUGGAAGCUGUUGCAGUUCAAGGGGAG
ensembl:lncRNA